rnacentral:rRNA from 1 species
ACGUAGGCAGCAAGCGUUGUUCGGAAUUACUGGGCGUAAAGGGUGCGUAGGCGGCGCUUUAAGUUUGGUGUGAAAUCUCCCGGCUCAACCGGGAGGGUGCACUGAAAACUGGGGCGCUCGAGUAUGGGAGAGGAAAGCGGAAUUCCUGGUGUAGCGGUGAAAUGCGUAGAGAUCAGGAGGAACACCCGCGGUGUAGACGGCUUUCUGGACCAUGACUGACGCUGAGGCACGAAAGCGUGGGGAGCAAACAG